CCACACUGGCCCUCUGUGCGUCCUGGCGGACUGGGAGGACUCCUCUGCUCCUCUCUCUCGCACUCAGCUCUCAGUCUGUGUCUCGCCGCUGCGGAGGACACGGAGGAGGGGAGGCCGGCCCGGGAGGAAGACACCAAGAGGGAAACACUCUCAACCAACAUCCUGGGUAUAAAUUUGCAAAACGCAAUACAGGCCUGAUUGUGUGUUGAGUGGAUGCGGGGUGCAUACGAAUAGACCCUGGAACCCCUUCCUCUCUCCUCCUCCAAAUAGUACCUCCCAACUCCUACCCCCAUCUCUUCUCAAGCUGCCAAAUCAUGAAUCUACAGUCAUCAGUAGGACUGAGGCUGGGAGAAUCUGAAUGGAGCGGCUGGGAACAAGUGAAGCCUUGGCACUGACACCAGGUCAGCUCGAAGCCCCCUCACAGCCCAGCCCUCAGCACCAGGUGUUCCCUGCAUUCAAAUGAUACUCUUAUUCAUAGACUGCCCCGAUUGGAGUAUUAAAACUCAAAAUUUGCAACUGAAUGCUGAUAUAAUCCUAGAAAUAUAUGUCUCCAUUAAAAAGGAGCCCAUUUAAAGGAACAAGGCGGUCUUUGUGCGAGCCUUUAUGUUUAUUUAUCAAGGCGCUAA